rnacentral:rRNA from 1 species
CAGUCGCCGCGGUAAUACAGAGGGUGCAAGCGUUAAUCGGAAUUACUGGGCGUAAAGCGCGCGUAGGUGGUUUGUUAAGUUGGAUGUGAAAGCCCCGGGCUCAACCUGGGAACUGCAUCCAAAACUGGCAAGCUAGAGUACGGUAGAGGGUGGUGGAAUUUCCUGUGUAGCGGUGAAAUGCGUAGAUAUAGGAAGGAACACCAGUGGCGAAGGCGACCACCUGGACUGAUACUGACACUGAGAUGCGAAAGCGUGGGGAGCAAACAGGAUUAGAUACCCGCGUAGUCCCUGUCUCUUAUAA